rnacentral:piRNA from 1 species
UAACAGUGGAGGUCAAAUUGCGCAGC